UACGUAGGGUGCGAGCGUUGUCCGGAAUUACUGGGCGUAAAGCGUGCGUAGGUGGUCUUUUAAGUCCGUUGUGAAAGCCCUGGGCUCAACCUGGGAAUGGCAGUGGAUACUGGAAGGCUGGAGUACGGUAGAGGAGGGUGGAAUUCCCGGUGUAGCGGUGAAAUGCGUAGAGAUCGGGAGGAACAUCAGUGGCGAAGGCGGCCCUCUGGACCAGUACUGACGCUGAGGCACGAAAGCGUGGGGAGCAAACAGG
rnacentral:rRNA from 1 species